rnacentral:lncRNA from 1 species
AAAACGUUAUACAUAUGUUAUAUUUUAUAGUUAUAUAUAUGGUCUAUAUUUUGAUACUUUAAUCGUGAAAUGCAUUGUAAUAGAGAAAUAUUUAUCCUUAAACAAUAAGGUUUGUAUUAGUCUUAGUUAGAGAACUUUGUAUAAUUUGCAAAAAGAAAUUUAAGGUAAAUGAUCAAACAACUCUUCACAACAGACCACAAUGACACAGACUUUACAACUAUAGGUCACCGUACAGACUUUUGUUAUCAGCAAAGCACAUACCGCAAAGUCAGCUAUAAAAGACACCGAAAUGACAAAUGCAACUAAUUCAAACGAAAAUAAAAUAACGGCCUAAUGUAUGUAUAAAAAAUGGACUAAAACAACUAUG